CUCUUUUCCGCAAUCAUAACGUAAUAUACUAUUUUGAAACACAUGCUUGGAAAAGUUCCUUUUUAGUCCCUUCAUUAUGGCAGCAUCCUAAUGAGCGACAUAUAUGUAACGACACCAAACUGUUUUUUUAAACUUAGAUUCAACAUACAAUCGUUUUUCGACUGUUUCAUUUUUCCCCAUGUUUUAUUUUGCCCCAUUGUUUCAUUGUGCCCCACUUUCCCUUAUCAAAAUGCAUUCAAAGUAACUUAAUUAUAAAAGAAAAGACUGAAAGAUACCAGUCCUUUGAUGACCUAAUGACAUUUUUUUUCUUGAAUAUUCCGCAAAUUCACUCUCAACCCUUAAACUGCUCACUUUUUUUUGACCCCCCUUUACUUGUACACAAUUUUUUAUAACGCAUAAUAUAUCUCUCAUUUAGUUCUUCAAAUACAAAUUAAUAGAUUAAAAGUGUUGAAUACGGGAAAAAUAAAAACAAAAUUCCCUCUAAAUUAGUUUUUAGGAUAUGAGCAUUUCAAUCCUUAUUUUUCAAGAUACGAAUAUUUCCAUGAAGCCUCUUAUACUUGAGAUAUAUACCAAUUCAUGAUUAUAUUUAAUGAUUAUAUUUACAACCUCAAAAUUUAAAAAAAUCAAUUUUAAUGAAAAUUUGUUUGUCGGAGAUUCUUUUGACUGAAUUCUGUUCCUGAAAAAAUUGCAACAACAAUCGCGAAAAAUCCGUCAACGAAAUCUUCAACAAAAAAAUUUCCAGUCAAAAACGGGCUCAAUCAAGGUAUAGUGUCACCCUUGUGACCCUCGUGACCCUAGCGACUCCUUUUUUGUGACCCUCCCUUGUGACCAUACCUUAAGUUUUGAGAACACCCCAUGCAUAAUCGGAAGGUCCCGGAUUCAAAUCCCGGUCUGAACUAUAUACAAUUUUUUCAGAAAAUUUUUCUUGUAAACUAAUAUUGAGAAUUAUCCUGGUUUCCCUCCCCCCUACUCCAAAAUCCUAUCCAACAAUAUCCUGUGACUUUUGUGAAAAAUACCCAUAAUUCAGAAGAAAUAAUGGAGAUAGAAUUUUUUCAUUAUUUUUUCCGUAAUCCUGGAGAAAAAUGGUAUGGAAAACAUAUGUUAAAUCGUGGUGUCAAAGGAAUUGUAAUCAUGCCAGCACUAUAACCUGAGGGCCAAAUAGCCUCCGAAACCAACUUUUCGCCUCAGCACUCUUACUAUCAGCCCAUUUCAGAUGAGCAAAUCUCCCAAGCAGUGACUCUACAAGAAUGUCUCAACGCAAACACUCUUGGUCAGCUAUGGAUCUCCAGCAUGCCUUUUCUCUAUCCCUUCAUCGUGCAAUUCAGCCUCAUAGCCGCAGCUGUGACCUUCGUAAUGGGUCAAAACGUAGGAAAAAGCCGAUACGGCCACAAACAGAAAUUUCACAGUAUGAAGGACGUAACAAGACAGACAAGGAUUGGAUGUGAUAGUUCUUCCAAAGGUCUUUUCCUUGGUAUCCUCAGCAUGACUGCUGGGAUUGUAGUUAUACUAAUUUUCCUCGUUGUGAGAGAGGAUGAUAAUUUUCCACCGGCGACCCUCUCGUGGCUAACCACUGGCACUUUAAUUGGAAUUCUUGCGUUGAGCGGAAUGAUGACAGCCAGUGGACUUGUACAGGUCAGGCAAAUGUCGAUAGUCUCAAGGAUUCCCCCAUCACAUGACAACAUUUUAGCCACUCUUUCUCUCUUUGGUGUUCAACUUUACUGUAUUUUCACAAUCGUCGUUUGUGGCUGUGCAUUAGUAAGUAAAAAAAUCGAAGAUCAAAUUGAUGGUGACACAAGAGGCAGAUACGUGAUGCUGUUAAUUGCUUCGGUGCUUCAAUUGGUUGAGUGUUUUGCGCAAAGUACACUCAUUGCAGAGGCAUCAAGGAGGUCUUGCAUCACGCGCUAUCAAAUGAUGACUAAACCCUCAAGACAAGUUAUCACAUUCUUACUGUUCAGUAAUGCUGUCCUCUGGGCAUUUGAUACUGUAAUUACGCAAAAUUGGAUAACGCAAGAGCUGCAGUUGAGGUUCUUCGGAGUACUAGCAUGGGGCAUUAUAUCAAGGAUAUGUCUGCCAUUGCUCAUAUUUUAUAGGUUUCAUAGUUUUGUACUAUUGCUGGAAGCGUGGAGCAAGUGUUAUAGGGUACCUAGGGGACAUCUCACCAUCAACUGACUUCAGAUGAUACUCAGAAACAUAAAGUGAAACAUAAACAAUUACCACAUCACAAUCAUCACUAGAGAACAAAGCGUCCAAUAAUCCAUUCAGAUACGAUUACCGAGGAUCCUUUUCUCAAUGAAUACCCAAAUAGCCUUAUUUAUAAUUCUGACCAUGACCAAGUAUAUUACCUUCAUCGUCCCGUCGACACCGCAAGUUGUUUCUACUUCGGCACAAAUCCGGUCAUAACAUUCAUCACGCCACCUUCGAGUUCUUCAUUUCAUCAUCACUCGCACCAACAUGGUCAUCACAAUUGUCACCGAAGAGGUAUUAAUUUAGACAAUUCCAUUGUUGACCAGUACCAUGAAAAAACUAUCGGCAAGGAAAUUGGUAGUCUUCACGAGACCGAACCAAGGACAUCAACCUUUAGAAAAGUGCCAUGGCACCCAAACCUUCACAUGCUUAAAAUAAGACCUUGACUUGAUUAUUUUCUAAUAUUCAGCUUAAAUCGUUUAUUUAUAAGUUUAUCACUUUCUUUUUCUUUAAGGAAAAGUUAUCUGACUUCUGAUUUACUUUUUCCUUUCUUUCUACUAACUAAGGUAGUAAAGUAAUAAUAAAUAAGUAGUAAAAGUAAUAACCAAUAGAAAAGAAAGUCAUGUACAUUUGAACUUCCAAGUAAAACGUGCAAUAUUACUUCUAGAUUUGUUUUUCUUAAUAAAGACUACAGACAUGACCAAAGUUAUGCUGAUUGCUUAUUGUAAAACCUUUAGUAUCGAACUCUGUGGGUACUUGAUUAGGUGGUUACUGGCUAAAUUUAUUUGUGUACAGGUUAGUAAUGUAUUCAUUCCAUGUUUGUUGUUUGUUUGAUGAAAUAAACAUAUAAAUAAGA